rnacentral:tRNA from 1 species
GCCCGCGUAGGCAAAUUCGGUAAAGCCGACGGUCUUAGAAACCGUAGUUUGGGAGUUCGAGUCUCCCCGUGGGUACGA